rnacentral:rRNA from 1 species
GACGAACGCUGGCGGCGUGCCUAAUACAUGCAAGUCGAGCGGACUUUCCGGAGUUCUUGCACUCCGGCAGGUGAGCGGCGGACGGGUGAGUCACACGUAAGCAACCUUCCCAUAAGACCUGGAUUACAUUCGGAAACGAAUGCUAAUACCAGAUAGACGUACCUCUCGCAUGGGGGGAGCGAGAAAGGCCGAGCAAGCUGCCGCUUGUGGAUUGUCCUGCGGCGCAUUAGCUGGUGGGUUGGGUAACGGCCUACCAAGGCGAGGAGGGGGAGCCGACCUGGGAGGGUGAUAGGCCACACGGGGACGGAGCCACGGACAAGACUCCUGCGGGAGGCAGCAGUCGGGAACCUGCCGCAGUGGUGGCAAGUCUGACGGAGCGACGGCGAGUGAGUGAGGACGGCCUUCGGGUCGUAAAGCUCUGUUGCCAGGGAAGAACGGGUAGGGGAGUAACUGACCUGGCCAUGACGGUACCUGAGAAGAAAGCACCGGCUAACUACGUG